rnacentral:rRNA from 1 species
AGAGUUUGAUCCUGGCUCAGAUUGAACGCUGGCGGCAUGCCUUACACAUGCAAGUCGAACGGUAACAGGUCUUCGGACGCUGACGAGUGGCGAACGGGUGAGUAAUACAUCGGAACGUGCCCAGUCGUGGGGGAUAACUACUCGAAAGAGUAGCUAAUACCGCAUACGAUCUGAGGAUGAAAGCGGGGGACCUUCGGGCCUCGCGCGAUUGGAGCGGCCGAUGCCAGAUUAGGUAGUUGGUGGGAUAAAAGCUUACCAAGCCGACGAUCUGUAGCUGGUCUGAGAGGACGACCAGCCACACUGGGACUGAGACACGGCCCAGACUCCUACGGGAGGCAGCAGUGGGGAAUUUUGGACAAUGGGCGAAAGCCUGAUCCAGCAAUGCCGCGUGCAGGAUGAAGGCCUUCGGGUUGUAAACUGCUUUUGUACGGAACGAAAAAGCUUCUCCUAAUACGAGAGGCCCAUGACGGUACCGUAAGAAUAAGCACCGGCUAACUACGUGCCAGCAGCCGCGGUAAU